GAUGAACGCUGGCGGCGUGCCUAAUACAUGCAAGUCGAGCGAACAGACGAGGAGCUUGCUCCUCUGACAUUAGCGGCGGACGGGUGAGUAACACGUGGAUAACCUACCUAUAAGACUGGGAUAACUUCGGGAAACCGGAGCUAAUACCGGAUAACAUGUUGAACCGCAUGGUUCAACAGUGAAAGACGGUCUUGCUGUCACUUAUAGAUGGAUCCGCGCCGCAUUAGCUAGUUGGUAAGGUAACGGCUUACCAAGGCAACGAUGCGUAGCCGACCUGAGAGGGUGAUCGGCCACACUGGAACUGAGACACGGUCCAGACUCCUACGGGAGGCAGCAGUAGGGAAUCUUCCGCAAUGGGCGAAAGCCUGACGGAGCAACGCCGCGUGAGUGAAGAAGGUCUUCGGAUCGUAAAACUCUGUUAUUAGGGAAGAACAAAUGUGUAAGUAACUAUGCACGUCUUGACGGUACCUAAUCAGAAAGCCACGGCUAACUACGUG
rnacentral:rRNA from 1 species